GAUGAAGAACGUAGCGAAAUGCGAUAAGUAAUGUGAAUUGCAGAAUUCAGUGAAUCAUCGAGUCUUUGAACGCACAUUGCGCCCCCUGGUAUUCCGGGGGGCAUGCCUGUCCGAGCGUCAUUGCUGCCCUCAAGCACGGCUUGUGUGUUGGGCCCCGCCCCCCGGCUCCCGGGGGGCGGGCCCGAAAGGCAGCGGCGGCACCGCGUCCGGUCCUCGAGCGUAUGGGGCUUCGUCACCCGCUCCGUAGGCCCGGCCGGCGCCCGCCGGCGACCACCCUCAAUCUUUUCAGGUUGACCUCGGAUCAGGUAGGGAUACCCGCUGAACUUAAGCAUAUCAAUAAGCGGAGGA
rnacentral:misc_RNA from 1 species